GUGCCUGAGGGAACAGAAUUCUCCCAGGCUUCGGCCCUUGAGGCCUAGUGUCUGCUGGUAGUAGCGGAGUGGUAGUUGCUGAAUAGAAUAGCCGUAGCUUAAAAGGCAGCAACAAUUAAAAAAAAAAAAACAAGUUAGCCACACACCUAAGCCACUAAUUAGUCAUCGAGGUCAGGCAGUAGAGGUUACACCUUUAAUCCCAGAACUCAGGAGACCGAGACAGAUGGAUCUCUGUGAGUUCAAGGCCACCCUGGGGUACAUGAGCGUGAAUCAGCCUAAAAGAUCCCAGCACUAGAGAGGAAUAUAAGGCAGGAGCUCAGAGUAGUCUGAGGUUUUUGGUGGCUAGCAUUGCAGUCUGCAGUCAUACUGAGGACAGGAUCGCCCCUCUUUGGUCUUAGUCUUGGUGGAGAGAAAUCACACAUUUAAAAUGUGACAAGCUCAAAUGAGAAGUGUCUACAUGGACAGACGCUGAUUUGUUUCAACCUGAUAAUCCUCUUUAUGAAAGCUCUUGAAAACUAAUUCCAGUAAGGUUUCCAGCCAACACAGUAAGCUAAAAUGGGCGGCUGGGAGCAUCUCUAAGUCAUUGUGGAUGUGGACCAAGGCAA